GCGUCGGUGGUUUAACGGUUAGCAUAGCUGCCUUCCAAGCAGUUGACCCCGGUUCGACUCCCGGCUGACGCA
rnacentral:tRNA from 1 species